rnacentral:rRNA from 1 species
ACUAAUGGCCAUACCAUCCUGAAUACGCCCGAUCUCGUCUGAUCUUGGAAGCUAAGCAGGGUCGAGCCUGGUUAGUACUUGGAUGGGAGACCGCCUGGGAAUACCAGGUGCUGUAAGUG